GCUUAGAGUUUGAUCCUGGCUCAGGAUGAACGCUAGCGGCAGGCCUAAUACAUGCAAGUCGAACGGCAGCGCGGGGCAACCUGGCGGCGAGUGGCGCACGGGUGAGUAACACGUACAUAACAUGCCUUUGAGAGGGGGAAAGUCACUGGAAACGGUGAAUAAUCCGCCAUAAGAUAUGCGCCUCGCAUGGGGCAAAUAUUAAAGGAGCGAUCUGCUCAAAGAUUGGUGUGCGUCUGAUUAGCUAGUUGGUGGGGUAACGGCCCACCAAGGCGACGAUCAGUAGGGGGCGUGAGAGCGUGGCCCCCCACAUGGGUACUGAGACACGGACCCAACUCCUACGGGAGGCAGCAGUAAGGAAUAUUGGUCAAUGGGCGAAAGCCUGAACCAGCCAUGCCGCGUGCGGGAAGAAGGUUCUUAGAAUUGUAAACCGCUUUUGAUAGGGAAGAAUGGGCUGGAUUUAUCCGGCAAGAGACGGUACCUAUCGAAUAAGCACCGGCUAACUCCGUGCCAGCAGCCGCGGUAAUACGGAGGGUGCAAGCGUUAUCCGGAAUCACUGGGUUUAAAGGGUACGUAGGCUGCUCGUUAAGUCAUUAUUGAAAGGUCGUUGCUUAACAACGGACGUGGUAAAGAUACUGGCGAGCUAGAAUUAGACAGAGGUUGGCAGAAUGUGUCAUGUAGCGGUGAAAUGCAUAGAUAUGACAUAGAAUACCGAUAGCGAAGGCAGCUGACUGGGUCUAAAUUGACGCUGAGGUACGAAAGCGUGGGGAUCAAACAGGAUUAGAUACCCUGGUAGUCCACGCCGUAAACGAUGUCAACUAACUGUUCGGAGUCACUAAGAUUCUGAGUAGUGAAGCUAACGCGAUAAGUUGACCGCCUGGGGAGUACGGCCGCAAGGUUGAAACUCAAAGAAAUUGACGGGGGCCCGCACAAGCGGUGGAGUAUGUGGUUUAAUUCGAUGCAACGCGAAGAACCUUACCCGGUCUUGACAUGGUAGGAAUCUUGUGGAGAUACGAGAGUGCCUUCGGGAACCUACACACAGGUGCUGCACGGCUGUCGUCAGCUCGUGUCGUGAGAUGUUGGGUUAAGUCCCGCAACGAGCGCAACCCUUGCCCUUAGUUACCAUCAUUUAGUUGGGGACUCUAAGGGGACUGCCGGUGAUAAACCGGAGGAAGGUGGGGACGACGUCAAGUCAUCCUGGCCCUUAUGACCGGGGCUACACACGUACUACAAUGGUCGGUACAGACGGUCGCAAGCUCGCGAGAGUAAGCUAAUCCGAGAAAACCGAUCGUAGUCCGGAUCGCAGUCUGCAACUCGACUGCGUGAAGUCGGAAUCGCUAGUAAUCGCAAAUCAGAAUGUUGCGGUGAAUACGUCCCCGGGCCUUGUACAUACCGCCCGUCACACCAUGGGAGUUGUUGCAAAAGAAGUAGGUAGCUUAACCGUAAGGAGGGCGCUUACCACUUUGUGGCCGAUGACUGGGGUGAAGUCGUAACAAGGUAACCAAGCC
rnacentral:rRNA from 1 species